ACGAGUUUGAUCCUGGCUCAGAACGAACGCUGGCGGCGCGCUUAACACAUGCAAGUCGAACGCACACUUUCGGGUGUGAGUGGCGGACGGGUGAGUAACGCGUGGGAACCUGCCCUGAGGUUCGGGACAACCGUGGGAAACCGCGGCUAAUACCGGAUAUCUCCUACGGGAGAAAGACUUGUCGCCUUGGGAGGGGCCCGCGUCGGAUUAGCUUGUUGGUGGGGUAAUGGCCUACCAAGGCAUCGAUCCGUAGCUGGUCUGAGAGGAUGAUCAGCCACACUGGGACUGAGACACGGUCCAGACUCCUACGGGAGGCAGCGGUAGGGAAUAUUGGGCAAUGGGCGCAAGCCUGACCCAGCCAUGCCGCGUGAAGGGAUUUAAGGGCCCCUCUGGGGUUGUAAAACUUCUUUUAUCAGGGAAGAAACCUCUCGAUUCAUCGAGAGCUGACGGUACCUGAGGAAUAAGCACCGGCUAACUCCGUG
rnacentral:rRNA from 1 species